rnacentral:lncRNA from 1 species
UUAAUGACACAGAGAAUUACGAAAUACUUCAUUAUAUCCAUUUUUAACAUAGCAUCCUUUGUCUGCAGAUUGCCAACAUCAAUGUAUCAUUACAAAAACUAAUUAUUGUUACUGUACGGAUUGUUUAUAUUUCAAUUCCUUAAUAAUUGUUAUUUUAAUACAUAUUAUCUUGCUAUACUAUUUAUCUUGGUCCGCUUGAUAGAAUUUGUAAGUACUGUUGGUCUCUUGCUUGUAUAUGUGCUCAUUCCUUAAAUCCUUUGUUUGUGAGGUUUUGCCUGUGUUUUGCAGUCAUCAAAAGCUGUAUAUUUAAGCCAUCUUCCAAACCGCCCAAUUGAAAUAAAUUAGAAUGUCUUAACGUACUAAUUAUUUCAUAACUUUGAAGAACUAUAUUCUACUGGCCUCAGGAGUUUUACCAAAAUCUGUUGUAUGCAAUAUUUUCCUUAAACGAUUUACAAUUAGAAUAAUGUGGCCUGUAAUAGAAAUCAAUCAAUCGGUGUUUGUGUCCCACAAUCUCUAUUUGUAAACGAUGGACGUGCUCUCCUCAAGAAUAUCAGUUUUUCUCCAGUCCAAAGGAUUUGCAUCACUCCAAAUUUCCGAGUUUAAUGAAUCUUCAAACCAACCGUUCUUUAUCAAAUACUUCGAUUUAUUUUCUGGUUUUCUGGUUUUUGAGGUUCCCAUUAAAGCCCGGCUAGUCUCUUCUAUAGCGUAACUGUUAGUAUUCGAGAAACCUGAGUAACUUUCGUCUUUUUUUUCAUUGUUAAAUAACUGGGGCGAUUUCGUUUUACUGCUGAGAAUUAGAGAAUGAUUUCCCUCAUUAUCAUUGUGACCUGAAGAUGAAUUGUUAACAUGAAAACCAACUUUUGGUUGACGUGAAUUACUCUGUACAACACCUCCAUAUGCCUUAUCUUGGGAACCCCUGUCCUUGAGGGCUCUCUUAAUUGCUUUCUUCCUAAGCUUUUCUCCACCUUUUUUUAAAUUAUAAUCGUUGAGAGCAUUAAAAGAGAAGGAAUUUGCCAGCCGCUCAUAACUUACAGUCCUUUUAUUUUUCGGAGAAUUUUGAUUUCUUUCCAAAUUCGAUGUCUUUAAAUUCUUUAUAUUGAUAGUUUCUCUUGCACAUUUUGUUAUAGGUCCAUCAUUCAUCUUGUUUGUAGCGGUCAAUUCAUUGAUUUCAUGGUUUUCCAUUGUGCAAGAAUUGAGUGCAUCGAGAUUAGUUGGAAAUUUAACUGAUGUUUUGUGUUUGCGAAGGAUAUCGUUGUUUUCUUUUUGUGAAGACUUAUUCAUUACAUCUUCUGUUUGCGUUUCCGCAGUGCCAAGUUUACUGAUUUUUAUUUUCUGCAUCUGGUUGCCUUUUUUCGCUUUCGGUUUUAUUCUCUCAUAGUUGGGGGGUUCAGCUUUUCCCUUACAGCAUGUAUUAAUGAUUUUUUCUUUCACUGGACUAUCCAAUCGCUCAUACUGCUCAGGAAUAUAAUUUUGUUCGCCGUUUCCAUUAUCCUCUUCUGAUUUUUUUUCACUUUCUCCCGAAUCCAAAGAUAAACUACUCUCAUUUCGUUCACUUUCAAUAGAAUGUAAAUUUGAAUUUGCAAAAUGAAGUCUUUGUUUUUCUAAAUCAAAAGAUGCAUCCCCAAAUUCCAUGGGACUUGCGUUUUUUUUUGCAGAUAUCUCAGAAUGAUAUAAAAUAUCGUUUUCUUCAUUGAUUGUAUAGUCUUGGGCUGAUUCUCGUACAAGUUUUAGCAAUGAAUUAAUUUUUUUCUCCUUUGAUAUUGAUAUCUCCUUGUAACAAUUGAAAAUUUCGAGCUCUGUUUUUGCUUCAUUCGAACUUUUAAUGUGUUUGACAUAUAUGUUUUCCU